GCGGAACCACUCGGGGAGACGCGCCAGGAGCGCAGAGCCCCGCUGGGCAGCCGCCGAAUCCGUGCACCCACGAAGCAGCCCGAAGAAAUAAUGAUGACCGAGAGCCACACGCCACUUUCUCCAAGGGCAGGAGCCAAGAGGGGGUGGAGAGGAGACGCCGAGGAGGAGUUUGGCGGCCCCUCCGUGCCCCUGCCUUCUAACUGGCGGCUCGGGGAGCGGCUGCUCUGCCCCCACUUGGGAAGUCCGGGAGGCGCCAGGCGGCCCCCUCGCCGCUCCCCCAGCAGCAGGAACAGCCGCAGCUCCGCCGCGCGCCGAGCCCGGACUGCUCUCCGGGUCCCCUCUUCAGUGCCGAACGCACACAGGUUUCAGAGCACGUUUUAAAGCUGUGCACACUCAAACAUGAAAGCUAUCUUCAGAAACAGAGUCCUCGGUCAUGCUGUCGGUGUUCCUGAAGUCCAUCCUGAAGGCGUGGGCAGGGUCCAGGCACAGCAGGGGCUCACAGAGAAGGUGACAGCACCGGCCAACACCAGAGGGGUCCAAGAAGAGGUGUGAGGGAUGUUAAAGAGGAACUGAAGUCUUAAUUGGAAUAGAACAUUGAGGUGUUUCUAUUUCAUCAAUCCUCCAAAUGAAAUGAUGGCUAAUAUUUGUUUAAUGCUUUCUAGAUGAAGACGCUGAGCUAAGAACUUUGUGCUAAUUCAGUCCCCACAGCAACUAUACAAGGGAGGUGCCACCCUUGGUUCUUUUCCCCAGGUGAGGAAACUGAGGCACGGGGAUGCUGAUUGCAUCACCCAGGUUACACAGCUAGUGGGCAGCAGAUCCAGGAUACCAAAUCCAGGAUUUCCAACCCAGUCUGGUUCCAGAGCCUAACGCACUUCUAAAGAGGCACUCGGCGCGUGCUGGGGACAUGACAGGGUAUAACCAUUGAAGGUUGUGCUGAGGAACAUGGCUGAACAUUAGAAAAAAGAAGCUGGCGCAGCCCGGGGGGCUCAGUGAUUUAGCGCCGCCUGCAGCCCAGGGCGUGAUCCUGGAGACCCGGGAUCGAGUCCCGCAUCAGGCUCCCUGCGUGGAGCCUGCUUCUCCCUCUGCCUCUCUCUCUCUCUCUCUCUCUCAAUCUCUCUCUCAUGAAUAAAUAAAUAAAAUCUUAAAAAAAAAAAAAAAGCUGGUGUGACUUGUUAUGUCAAUUGAGGGUCAAGCUCAAAUGUUUCCUAUUUAAUUCUUAAUCAGAAGAUCUGAAACCUGCCUUUGAGAUGUAAACUGUGUAGGGAUUGCCUUGGAAUUUUGCUGCAGAAACGGAUAAACAAAUUGGAUUAAAUGACUAAAUCCUUCCUCAAAAACAAACAAUCCCACAGAACAGUGCAGAGAUAAGGAGAUGAGCAAGAAGUGCAAAUCACAGUAUGAAAGUCCCAACUGACCGGAGCCAGGAUAAAGUUUGGGGAGGAAUUUAGAGGGGAGCAAGAUUCCCCCCUAAGAUUUAGUAAAGAGAUGCCAAUAAGAAGCUUGGGCAAAAUAGAAAGGUAAAGUGGAAAGGUACAGAAGGAAGGCAUCAUCUUGAAAACCUUAAGUUUUCAGUUUGAGUAGCAGGUGAAAUAGGAGGGCAAUCAAUAUUAAGCAAAAUUAAAAAGGUGGAAAAAUUAAUGUGAAAUGGAGCAGAUUUAUUUUUCAUAACAUUGAGAUAGAGGCAAAUUUUAACUCAUCUAUGAAACACAUUUUCUUUCUGGACAGCUUUUAAAUCAGAUUUAACCAUUGCCAAACACAAAUUUUAAUGAAUUGCUUGUUGAUAGUGCGAGUCAUAACAAUGCUCCAAAGAGUAUAAGAGACACAGUUUAUUUGCAGUGAAAAAAAUAAGGCUCUAGAGUGACAAUUAUCACAUACAAGUUGUGUAUGUAUGUGUAUGUAUACAUGUAUUAUGCUAUAUACAUAUAUAUAUGUAUAUACAUUAUAUAUAAUACAGUGACCAACUUAUCAUCUCUAACGAAAGUGGAAGCAGAAAAAUUACAAGAGAGAUAUAAAAGACUAAAUCUGGAUGUUAUACAGAGCUACUUCUCUAUAUGUAUAUUAUUAGAGAUGGAAUCUGUAUCUGGCUGGAAUAUUUUAAUACAUUUCAGGGGGAGCAAUUUGUUGUAUUCUUUUUGUUAAGUUUUGUAUUUCUGGUUUCAUUGACUUUCCUUUUGUCACCACCUCAUAUCCACAGCAUAGAAAACCUGCUCCACAGGGCUUGAGUUUACAGAAUUCAAGAGGUUCCCUAAAUUCAUGUAAAUGAGUUAUCUAAGCCUUUGACCUUUGAGAAGUCUUAGGUUCUCUGUCUCCACUCUGUGGUGGCCUUGCUUGGCAGAAAGUAGACAAGUGGCAAGGAGAUGCUAACGCUCACAGAAUCCAUUGCAGAAAUCCUCAUGGAAUUACUUCUUCAGAUUCACGUUUGUGAUCAGUGCCCAAUUCCUGUCUGAGAAUCAAAAGGUUGUCAUAAAAUUCAUGUUUUAUUGCCUCCUCUUUUUACAUCAUGUAAUUCCCAAACGGUAUCACCAAGCCCUACUCAAUGCUUUCAGUGGAAUCAAGGUAAGCAGAUAGCUAAGUGAAUCCUUCAGGUCCUCUCUCUCUCUGGUCAACAAAAAUUGUCUUGGAUUGAAUUCUAUUUAGUUUCCCAAACCAAGAUCUAGUUUGUAUUUUGGUUGUAGGAUUGGAUUUUCUCUUUGGAUGAUUGUCUUUUUUGUACGCAUAAUGUUAAGUGAACUGAUAUUAAAGGAUGAGAGCUGUAGCUAGGUUGGUAGAGAAAUGCCCAGGGCAUUGGAGGUCAACUUGUGCACAGAGCCAACAUCAAUCUGAACAAUCAUUCAUCUUUCUGGUCAGCUCUACCAGGGCUGUUCUCCCUAAAACUCUUAACUUAAGAGACAUGGACAUUGCCAGAGAUCUGCAAGUUAUUACUGCUUAAAACUAUGCUGAAUUGUAUCAGAGACUGAAGUAAAGUGGUGUCAUUAUUAAAAGAUCCUCAUGUUUCCUACUAGUUAUGUAUCAUGUUCCUACCUUAAAAUUACUAGACUAUACUACACCUAUAAUACUUUUAAGGGCACUUCUUAAUUUUAUUUCUCUUAUACUCACCAAUCCUAAUUUGGAGGAUAAAUGUUGACCAAUCUAGAUGGUAAAAUGCACAAUGAAAUGUUAGCAUCAUAGAAACAGGGAUUUUGUGUCUGCUCGUUUGCUGUUGUAUUGCUGAUAGAACAUUAUAUGACAUUUAGCAGAAAAGCAAUAAAACUUGUCAUACAGAUGAAGAUUUUGCUUUGAUUAAAAUGCCAACCCUUUUUUAAGAUUUUAUUUAUUUAUUCAUGAGAGAUACACAGACAGAGGCAGAGACAUAGGCAGAGGAGAAACAGACUCCUUGCAGGGAGCCUGACAUGGGACUUGAUCCCAGGACCCCGGGAUCACACCCUGAGCCAAAGGCAGACGCUCAACCACUGAGCCACCCAGAUGUCCAAAAUACCAACUUUUGAAUAAAAACAUUGAAAAUUAGGUAGGCAGAAAAUCCAUACACAUGCGUCUGUGUGCGUGUGUGUGUGUAUGAACAUAUCUCUUCUGAUAAACUCAACAUAUUCCUAAACAAAGCAAUAAUGACUAUGUAACAAUUUUUCUUUAUAGAUUUAUAAUAACUGUAUUAUUAUUUUAACCCCCAAUAUAUCAUUGUAUUGCCAAGGGAUUAUUCAAGACUGGAUUCAUGGUUUGUUAUUGUUUUCUUUUUAGUUUGUAUGUCUGAGAACAAGAAGAAUGUUCUACUCUUUUCUUGCCUCCAAAUCUGGUUUCAAAAAUCCCCCUGGAAGACCUGGUUAAUUUUAGUGGAGGAUAGUACGGAGAAGAAAGAGCAGGGUAAAGGCGAAAUAAAAUCUGGGAAUAUCUAGCACCCUGAGACACAACACAUCAGUGAGUUUUAGGCCUAACGGACCAUCUCUUUUGUAUUAGUAAUUCUGUUAUUGACUUUUUGAGGAUUAAUAGGAUUUAUAAAUCACGAGUAGAGCCUUAGUGGGAAUAAUGUGGUGAAAAUACUUUCUGCUUUUUCUUGUUCCUUCUUCUUUUUUUCUUGACCUUCAGUUAUACAUCUGGGAAGUGGCCCAGAAAGUUUUCAUGAUCUUUCCUGUCAACCCCACUGGAGUCAACUUCCAGCUCUCUGAAAAGAGGAAGAAACUCGCAAUCUGAUCCCCAGCUAUAAGGACCUAAGGCCCCAGAUUGAUUAAAGAACCCCUACUUUUUUGCACCUGGGUCAUUUUAUUAACUGUGUUAGCAUUGUCUUUCUUCCUUCUUUUUUUCAUGGGUUGUUUAGAGAUGCUUAUUUCUCUAUCUUAAAAGCCUUAUAUCUUUUAGCAUCACUAUGAAACUGCUCCCUUCCCAUUCUUUUCCUUGUAAGAUCCUUUCAAUUUUUCUUAUGGCUGCAUCUGUGCCAUUUUUUCCCUAAAUAGUAUAAAGGUGUGUGGUUUGAUUAUAGAGUCAAAAAAAAAAAAAGAUUUUCUACUUAUUUCUAAAGGAUUAAAUCUUAGUAGGAAAAGUGGAUCUUAAGCAAACUUUGUUUUAUCUCAAGUUAGGCCAAUUUUUCCAGAUGAGUGACAAAAAUAUUUGAGCUAUUAAGGUUUUCUCAAUGACAUUUGCAUCUAACCUUGGUUUCUUAGAGACAUGUAGAGGACAAAAUUAAAGGCAGAUUAAGAAUUUCUGUGAAAAAAAAAAUAUGUCCAGAGCUAAAAAUAGAAACACUCAUCCAGAAAAUUCACAUGAAACAACAACCAUAUAACCUUUAAAUGUCACCCAGUACCACAAACAAUAAAAUUGUCAAAUUCCUAAUUGUAUUAUACACUUAUUUGUACUACAGUUUCAUAAUUCCAUUACAAGGAACUCCAGCUCAGAUUCUAAGGUAUAAUUUCUUCCUCCCUUUCUUCCUUUCUUCCUUCCUUCUUUCAUUUCUGCCUUCCUUCUGGCUUCCUUCCCUCCUUGCCUCUUUCUUUCAUUUUUCCCAUCUUUCCUAGAUGCUCAGAGCAAAUUAUACGACAGGCAUUGGAUAUUUUAACAGGAGCAUCCAGCUUUUUCUUUUCCAUGUAGUGAAAAAGCCACAUUAGUACUUGAGACUUUGUGUUCAGUAUUAGUUAGUUAUACAGAACACAGAGCUGAAUCACAUUCUCACCUCAGAAAAGUUUACUUCAGAAUCAUCAGGCAAGAAACUCUAAACUAAGUAGUAAUAUAUUCUCAGUUCUUUAUGCUUUUGCAACCUUUAAGAAUACAAUAAAUUCUAAAAAUUACUUUAUAUUUG
rnacentral:lncRNA from 1 species